GACGAACCUUGCUAACGUUAUUCGGAAUUACUGGGCUUAAAGGGCGCGUAGGCGGCCACCGCAAGUCGACUGUGAAAUCUCCGGGCUUAACCCGGAAAGGUCAGCCGAUACUGCGGGGCUAGAGUGCAGAAGGGGCAACUGGAAUUCUUGGUGUAGCGGUGAAAUGCGUAGAUAUCAAGAGGAACACCUGCGGCGAAGGCGGGGUUGCUGGGCCGACACUGACGCUGAGGCGCGAAAGCUAGGGGGAGCGAACGGG
rnacentral:rRNA from 1 species